AGCGGUAACAGCUCAAAUUUGAAAGCUAGCUCUUUUAGGGUUCGCAUUGUAAUUUGUAGAAGAUGCUUCGGGUGUGGCCCCGGUCUAAGUUCCUUGGAACAGGACGUCAUAGAGGGUGAGAAUCCCGUAUGUGACUGGGUGCUUUCGCUCAUGUGAAGCUCUUUCGACGAGUCGAGUUGUUUGGGAAUGCAGCUCAAAAUGGGUGGUAAAUUUCAUCUAAAGCUAAAUAUUGGCCAGAGACCGAUAGCGCACAAGUAGAGUGAUCGAAAGAUGAAAAGCACUUUGGAAAGAGAGUUAAACAGUACGUGAAAUUGUUGAAAGGGAAGCGCUUGCAACCAGACUUGCGCGCUGAUGAUCAUCCGGGCUUCUGUCCGGUGCACUCGUCUGCGCUCAGGCCAGCAUCGGUUUCGGUGGUGGGAUAAAGGCCUUGGGAAUGUAGCUCCUCUCGGGGAGUGUUAUAGCCCUCGGUGCAAUGCCGCCUAUCGGGACCGAGGACCGCGCUUCGGCUAGGAUGCUGGCGUAAUGGUUGUAAGCGACCCGUCUUGAAACACGGACCAAGGAGUCUAACAUCUAUGCGAGUGUUUGGGUGUCAAACCCAUACGCGUAAUGAAAGUGAACGGAGGUGAGAACCCUUAAGGGUGCAUCAUCGACCGGUCCUGAUGUCUUCGGAUGGAUCUGAGUAAGAGCAUAGCUGUUGGGACCCGAAAGAUGGUGAACUAUGCGUGAAUAGGGUGAAGCCAGAGGAAACUCUGGUGGAGGCUCGCAGCGGUUCUGACGUGCAAAUCGAUCG
rnacentral:rRNA from 1 species